rnacentral:rRNA from 1 species
AGAGUUUGAUCCUGGCUCAGGACGAACGUUGGCGGUGCGCUUAAUGCAUGCAAGUCGAGGGAGAAGCAGACGUUCCGUAAGGUUCGACUGUGGAAACCGGCGAACGGGUGCGUAACACGUGAGAAACCUGCCCCCCAGAUCGGGAUAGCCCAGGGAAACUUGGAUUAAUACCGGAUACUCUCUUUGGAUCGCAUGAUCCAUUGAGGAAAAGUCCGCUGCUGGGGGAUGGUCUCGCGGCCUAUCAGCUUGUUGGUGAGGUAACGGCUCACCAAGGCUAAGACGGGUAGCUGGUCUGAGAGGACGAUCAGCCACACUGGAACUGAGAUACGGUCCAGACUCCUACGGGAGGCAGCAGCAGGGAAUAUUGCACAAUGGGCGAAAGCCUGAUGCAGCGACACCGCGUGCGGGAUGAAUGCCUUAGGGUUGUAAACCGCUUUCGGGAGGGAAGAAAAUGACGGUACCUCCUAAAGAAGCUCCGGCCAACUACGUGCCAGCAGCCGCGGUAAUACGUAGGGAGCAAACGUUGUCCGGAUUUAUUGGGCGUAAAGGGCUCGUAGGCGGUUCAACAAGUCGAUCGUGAAAGCCCGGGGCUCAACCCCGGGAGGCCGGUCGAAACUGUUGUGACUAGAGUUCGGUAGAGGUGAGUGGAAUUCUCGGUGUAGCGGUGGAAUGCGCAGAUAUCGAGAGGAACACCAUUAG